ensembl:lncRNA
CCAGCUUUAACCCUUGCAGUCACAGGGAACCGGGACUUCAAACAACAGCUGCUAUGCCAUUUAAUUGUAAAAGAAUCCUUCCUCGUAGUGACCUGUGGUGGUCAUCUGCUGGGCUGGCUCUGACCUCUCAUAGACCAAUUCUUCAUUUAAUCCUUCAAAUACUAAAAAAAUAAUGUCUCUUUGUUUUAAGACACUUUUCCUGAGAAUCUCCUCUUCCAGAAGCCAGAUAUCCCUGCUUUUCUUGCCCAUUCCUCUGUCGACUAGAUUUGAGGAGCUUGCAGACUUUGUUGCAGAUUAUGCUGGUGCCUCUCUUUGGGUAACUGACUCUAGGAUGUCAGUGUUCUUUUUAAAGUGAGUUGUCCAAACUGGGCGCCGUACACCAGAUGUGCUCCCGAUCCCAUAGAGUACUAAGUGAUCUAUUUCCCCUUUUACCCUAAACUUCCCCAAUGCUAUUAGUUUUGGUAGAAACUACGGCUCACAGGAAGCUUAUUUUGGAAUAAUGAGGGAUUAGCAUCAGACGCCUGUGGAGCUGUCUGCCCUAAAGGAGUGUUAAAUGUAAAGAUGCCCCAGGUCCCAGGACAUCCAUCCAAGAAGUGAAGGGAAGUAUCUCUGGGUCCUAGGAUUUGGCGGGAACAGACAGAUUUGGGGUAACUCCCUCGACCCCUUGCCGCCGGGCCGCUCGUCUCUGCAAGUUUGCUCUGCUCUCUCUCUUCUCUCCACAACAUUUUCAAGUCUUUUGUGUUUCCUGUAACUUUGGCUUGCUGGUGCUUCAGUGUGCCAUGAAACCAGCCCAGCCCACAUUCUAUGCACCCUUUCAUUUCAAGUGCCCUGCUGCCCAUCUCUAGCUCAAUGUCCCUCAUACUUUACUGUCCACAAAGUCACCUGGAGAGCUUGUCAAGUGCAAAUAAUGAUUCAGUAGGUCUACAGUCGGGAGUGUACAUUUCUAAGAAGGUCCCAGCUGGCAUGGAUGCUGCUGGUCCACAGAUCCCACUGAGUAGCAAACGAAUCAGGAUGCAGCUGAGCCAGUUUCCCAAUUCCAAAUUGCUGGGCAGUAAUCUGAUUAUCUCGGCCCGCAUUGGAUUUGCUCACCCUGCGUCACACGGCUCUAAUUAGCCAUUGGCAGGAGGAGACCAGAUGUACAUAACACAAACGUGGCCGUCUUGGUCAGCCCUUUCAACAAGAGCUGUGGGUGGAGUGGGCACUUCAAAAUGCUAAAAUACAUCUACAGCAGGGGUCAACUCAAACCCUAGUAAUUUUUAUAUAAGUGGCUCACUUACCAAAUCUUGCAUAUCUUGCUCUUGCACAAUUUUUCUGAUGGGAAAGACUUUCAUUUUCCAACUUAAUUGACACAGUUCUGAUUUCCUUUAAAUCCUGUCCACACGGUUAAGUUAAACUUGUUUCUGAUGUUUGUCUGAGGCUUAUGCCUGUCAAAUUAAAAUAUUCCAGAAAAGAAAAAUAUGAAUUCUCCUCUUAAAAUAGGGUUUCAUAUUUUGGAUUCUAUUCUUCUGUCAUUUCAGUGAGAUUUUGGAAGAAAGGACAGCCGUGCUCUCAGUCAGUCGUGCUAAGGAGCCCUUUAUAUUGCAUUCUUUAUCUUUGUGCCAGGCCCCAGACUUGGUGCAAAUUUACAAUUAUAAUAGUCAAAUAUCCCUUUUCAAUAGCUUCUCUGGGUGGGCCUGGGUGGCUCUUCCGGGGCUCUGUGAGUGCGAUUUCCAAAUUGGGCCAACGAUGUCUAGAGGGAAAUACUGUAGAAGUUCAGAACUAAAACCUCCACACUCCACCCCCAGCCACAUACCAUGCAGGAGGCCGGCUUCCCCACUACGUUAAGGACACUGGGAACGAGGUCAGCAUUUUACUUCUACUCAGUAAUCUACAUAUUUACUCCUUGGUAGUGAUGCCAUGGGGCUUGGCCAUUCCCGUUGUCCUCAAGUCUUUUUGGUUUCAAGUUCAUAGGUGGUUUCUAGGGAUUGAAGCACUUGAAGGAGUGUGCGGUGGAGAGGGUGUGACGGAGAUGGAUGAGAGCAGAUAAUGAGAAAGUUCUCUGGCAUGAGACUGGGGAGGGCAAAGAAGUGAUUCUAGCUUGGGGGAGCUUAGGAAGAAAUCCUAUAGCAAUUCAUUUCAGCCCUGGAUUGCCAGAGUUGGGCCUAUUGUUCAUUCACUUUUAAAAAACUAUUCCCAGGAAAACCAUAUGAUCCAUUUGGGGUUUGCAAGAGGUCUUCCAUAAUUCAGAGAACUGGCACAUUAAUUUAAUCAGAAACUUGGCUUCUUUUCCAUCUCUUCAUUUUCUCAAUUAUGAGGCAUAGCCACAAUGGAUAGCUUCAUUUUGGGUGCAAAGAAAAUCAAAGUACUUUCAGGGGUUUUUUGGACCAAGGAGACACUCACAUGGGACCACUUUAGAGAUCAAUUUUCAAAGCCCAUGAAAAAUAAAUGGAAGUGUCCUUGUAUGAGUCUGUUAGCAUCUGUACCAUUGCAUUAUGCAUGAUCCUGGCCAUAUUCGUGGUGCGUCUAUUCAUCACACUGUUUCAACAAGAGUUUUCCAUUUUUGCCAAAUGGUAGAUAUCAAGAUAAAAUCCAUAGUUUCCUCACUCUGGUUUUCUUGGCAGGAGCCCCUUUUGUCCUUUUUUUAGCUGUCUAUAAUUUAUCUUUCAUUUGCCACGGAAGGUUGGCCUCUUACUUUUAGGGGGCAGUUUUGAAGGCUUAUACACAUUUCCCUGGUCUUAAUAUUUGCUCGAUAAUUUUUCUUUUCGCAUCACUGUCAUUUUUCUAAAAUUUCAUAUAAACUUGUUAUCGUUAGCCUGUCUAAAAGUGGAUCUCUUCUAGGUAGUUAAUAAAUGUAACUUUCAUGUAGAUAUUCUAAGAAGAAACACCCUGAUUCCCACCCUCUGUUAGUUCACACACACAUACACAGACAUAAAGUAAACAGCAUUGUGGGUUUUUUUUCUAACAGCAAUUAAUUUAUUCAUUUUAAUGCUAGAGUACGUAAAAUGGAAGCUUACAUUUGAAUUACAAAUCCAAUAAACUAAGUCAUUAUAAUUGCCUAAUUAGAAUGAUUUCCGAGUUUUAUAGGCGCUGGAUUUUUGGAUGCUGUCACAAGUAGAAAGCCCGUGUGCCAUCUUUCUUUUCUUCUACAGAUUUAAUCUAUGCUAAUAGCUAUUCAAACUCUUUCAGACUGCUGAAUAUUUGUCUUCAGAGCUUUUUCCCUUGAUGGAAAUAGUAAUUGCCGUUGCCAAAAAAAAUCAUUUUAUUCUGCGUAUGCUCCAAAAUCUCUUAUUCUAACUUGUUUUAUAUUGCUUGCUCUGCUGUUCCAGGGGUCCCAAUUUCUUCUGAUUAAGGACUACUGCUUAAGGCUUGUGAAUGACAGUCAUUAAUCUGUCAGAAAAAAAUAUUUUAGUCCAAGUCACUGUUGAUGUGGGUUGUCGUUAGAUUCAAACAUUUCCUAAGUGCAUACUAUAUGGAAGCUUUCCUGCCGACCUUUAACGGAUCACAGGCAAUGGUUUCAGAGGUGGCACUUAUGAAACUUAACAAGUUCUGCAAUUGUCAGCUUUGAUUUUUUCCCAUCAUGCCCUUAAAUUAGAGACAUAUUUGUGCAAUGACCAAGAUUUCCAGAAGCCAAAUCCCUCUCUUUUCCUAAAGAAUGAUUUUCCUGAAGGAUGGAGCUCAUUUACAAAUUUUAGCCAGUUGUUUCUUUGUUUUAGAAAGACUGGAAUUGAGACAAAUUGGAGGAAAUGUGUAAUUUUUGACAUGAAAAGGGGAAAGAUGGAUAUGAACUUAAACCAUAAAUUUUUCACUCAGCUUUAUAGGCUUAACCAGAGCUAGAAUCAUGUUCUUUUGCAACUGCAGACGUCAAGGAAAGCCAGUGUUGGCUCCAGCCGUGUUUGCAGCCUGUGCGUGUGUGCUCCCAGAGGGAGGCGAAGCGCUUUCAGCUGGUACCCACGUGAAGCGGUCCUCGUCAUUGUUUGAUGUUUGCUUUUCACUCAACAUUUUAUUAUGGAAAUUUUCAAAAUACAGCCAAGUGGAAAGAAUUUUACAGUGAACACCCAUAAACCUACCACGUAGAUCCUUCCAUUAACAUUUUGCUAUACUUGCUUUAUCACGUAUCUAACCAUCUCUGCCCCUUGAUCGAGCCAUCAAUCCAUCUCAUUUUCAAUGCAUUUCAUGCAUCUUUUCUCCCCAAAGCUCCCUCCAUACAUAGUUGUAUACUUUUAGUUGUGAGUCCUUCUAGUUGCGGCAUGUGGGAUGCCGCCUCACCAUGGCCUGAUGAGUGGUACCAUGUCCAUGCCCAGGAUCCGAAAUGGCGAAACCCUGGGCCUCUGAAGUGGAGCACACAAACUUAACCACUCGGCCACAGGGCCGUCCCCCUCAUGCAUCUCAUUUUUAAUGCAUUGUAGACACCAGUACAUUCCCCCUGCAACCCUUCAGCAUGCACAUCAUUAAUGAGAGUUCGAUAUUUCUUUAUAGUUUAUUUUUCCAUGUGAGUAAAAUUUUCUGAGUUUCACAAAAUGCAUACACACCCUGUGUAACCCAAACUCCUAUAAAAAAAAAAUUACCAUCACCCUAGAAAGUUCCCUUAUGCUGUUCCUCCUUAAUCUCUGCCCCGACACAUAUCCCGGGAAACCACCAUUCUGAUUUUUUCCACCAUAGAUAAGUUGACCUCUUCUAGAACUUCACAUAAAUGGAAUCACAUGGUACGUACUUUUGUGUGAGGCUUCUCUCACGCAGCCUAAUUUUUGUCUUCAUCCCUGCUGUUCCACGCAUCUGUAGUUUAUCCCUUUGUAUUGCUGCAUAAUAUCCUAUUACAUGAGUAUAUCAAUCACAGUUUGUCGAUCCAGUCUCUUGUCUGCUUCCAGGUUUUAGGCACUAUGAAUCAAGCCGCUAUGAACACUCUUACACAAGUCUUUCUGUGUAAAGAUGUUUUCAUUUUUCCCGGGUGGGAUUGGAAUUGUUGAAUCAUAGGAUAGGUGUAUUUUUUAGAUCUACAAGAAAGUGACAGAAUUUUUUCUAAAGUGGUUGUACAUUUUAUAUUCCCACCAGAAAUGUAUGCAUGGGUUCGGUUGUUCUAUAGUCAGCCUUUUUAAUUCUACCCAUUCUGAUGAAAUGAGUGGUAUCUCAUUGUGAUUUUAAUUUGAUUUCCCAGGCAUUUAUUUUUAAUACGUUUUAGAAAAAAGACAAGUAGGACAGCAAGUCUAUGAUUUCAGGUAUAUCAGGCUGGAGUCAGGGCCAAAUAAAAAGUGGUUCAAUUUAAGAUAAAGCUACAUAAAAAUACCAGGUAAAUAGUAGUUGAGGUGGUACACGGAUAUAGCAACAUUUAUGAAGUGGUUUGUGAACACGUUAAGUUUGAGAAAUACUAUUACGGAGGAGGUCACUUUUCAGGCUUCUCUAUUUCCAAUGGCUUUUUUGAGAUGGAGUCAAAAAACCAACAUGUAGGGCUGGCCCUGUGGCCUAGUGGUUAAGUUUGUCAUGCUCCACUUCAGUGGCUGGGGUUCGGUUCCUGAGCGUGGACCUGCAGCACUUGCUGUAUGCCAUGUGCAACGCCACGUACAUGUACGCCAUGCUGUGGUGGCGACCUACACACAAAAUAGAGGAAGAUUGGCAACAGAUAUUUGCUCAGGAUGAAUCUUCCUCAGAAAAAAAACAAAAACAAAAAAAGUCAACAUGUAAAGAUCAUUAAGAAAUUCCAGUUACCAUCAUCCAUCACAGAGUCAUUGAGCCCUGAGAUUAGGAUUCUGUGUAAGUCUGGGAUGAAAAGACUUCAGGUAUCACCCCUGCUUUUGAGAACAUGCUUUAAACAGUCUAAUUGUAUAAACGGAAACACAAGAAAACUGGAUACCAGCACCACUGGAGCCAGCCUGCUGGGUUUGGUCCUCCGUUCCCCCACUUACUAGCUGUGUGACUUCAGCAAAUCACCUAACUUCUCUGGACUUCAGUUUCCUCAUCUAUAAAACAUGGCUAAUAAUAGUAACAAUUUCAUGUGAAUUUCUUGGGAACAUAUGAGUAAAAUUAUGUAUAAGCACAUAGCAUCUUAUAAGGGGGGAGCGGGCUGCUGUUAUUAUUAAUUGGAUUAUCUUCAGCCCGAUAAGGGCAACAACUCUGGAGGCCAACACAUCCAACUGAGGGAUGAGGAAGGGGAGUAGGGAAAGCCUGGGCCUUCUGGAUGGAUAUACCUGGCAGUCAGCCUGCCACUUCUUUCACCUUCUUCUGAUACAGCAACUUGCUCUUCCUUUGGGCAACAGUGUUUCCCGGUUGUCAGCCUAGGUGAGGCUGACCCCAUUUCUUGGCCAUGUGAUCUAGGCCUGGCCAUGAGAGUCUCAUCCCUCGGUUUAUGUUGAUUUGUCCAGACAUGGACAAGGGAUCUCAGUCAGAAUAAUAAUACUUGAUCAUGGGGUUUCUGCUGAUGCUAGUGAGAAAGAGUGACUCCCUUUCUUUCUGCUGGAGUUGCUAAGCUGGUAAGACAGAGGGAUGGUGCUGUGGGGAGUUAUUUUGUAACCCUGAGGAGAACCUUCCUGAGACUGAAUCCUGCAGAGAGAGAUGGGGAGAGAGAGGUGGAGACAGAGAUGGAGAGAGAGAGAGAUUGCUGACAUUAUUUGAGCCACGGGCUCUAGCUGUCUUAAUCUGACCGUACCAGCUGUGGACUACACCAUACCUUUUUUGUCUAAGCCAGUUUGAGUUUGUGAGAGUCCUGAUGAAUACAUCUUUUAUAAUCAAGGUCACAUUUUUGCAAGGUAAUUGCCUUGAGUUAAGGGAGAUUUGCUGUAUUCAUGUAAAUGACUUUCUCCACUGAAACUUCUUCAGGUGGUUUGUCUAGAUUACACGGACACACUGGCAGAGCCGGGUUUAUGAAAUCCUCCAACAGAUCAGGAGGCAGGUUUGGAGAGAAAUGAUGCCAGUCAGUUUGUUGUGCAGCAGCCAUGGGAACUACGAGGACACACAUUCUCAGAGUCAUCGUGACUCCAUGUUGGUGUCUUGGUUGUUGCUACUGAGACUACCCGAACCUCCACCUCCAGGCCUCAGUACUCUACCUUAUAUCCCUGGAUUAAGACUCACAACAACAUGGUGUGAUCCUGUGGUUCCAAUUGGCCCACCCAUCUGGAAAAGGUGCCUUUCAAUCAUCUGGUUGCACUGACACUAAGCCAAAGAUUAUCACAUCUAUAUUUAGUGACUUCCUAAUCACAGUAUCAAUAAAUAUGGCUUCUUACUGCAAAGCUGGAUAAUUGCACUUAUUCUUGUUAGCAUCUCAUGUGUCUCAAAGAGUAAUCACAGAUAAUGAGAAGUUUAGGUUCAAAGGAUUGUGCAUAUUAUUGAAUGAUGAGUGGAGGGUGCUUGAAAGGUGUCAUAGGGGUGAAUCACUGAGGUGAACACAGCCUGCUCAUGCACAGCUGAAGAAGAAGUGCAUCAGUUCUUCCAUGGGCCAUCAUUGCAACUCCACAUGGGCCUAAAGUAUGGAACCCAAACCACACAGGAAAAUGAAGAGAAGUGGUGCUAAGAAAUAAGUGGGUUUUUGGGGUGGGGGGUUGGGAGGAGAGGACAGAAGCCAGGAAAAGUAGUGAUGAUUAGCAAGAAUUUUCUGGCUAUGGUCCAUUCUCUCUUCACUUCAUUUAUUUGUUUAUUUUUAUGCUCAAUUCACUCAUUCAAAAAAAAGAUUGAGACACAACUUAUGUUGCAGGCUCUGUACACAGUGCUGGGUAUAAAAUGCUGCUGCCCGCACAGAGCGCAUAGUCCAUCUGGGGAGACAGAUAUAAGGUGGCAUGGUGAUGAUUACUACAGAGCACAGGGACAGUGGGAGAUGUUAGAAUCUAAUGUGGUCUGCAUGGGUCAGGACAGACCUCCCUGAGGACCUGACAUUGAAGUUGAAACAAGAGGGAGGAGAAAGAGGAGUUGGAUCCAGAGGAAGCAAGCAGUAGAAAGACCACUUCUGAGCAAAAGAACAGGUGAAUAUGAAGGCCCAGAGAUGGGGAGCAGCCUGCUCUUUGGAAGAACUGAAAAAACAAAAUGGUUGGAGGAAGGCGAAUGAGACAGGUGUGGCUGGAGACGUGGGCGGGAGCUGAAACAGGCGAGAGUCUCCUCCUCGUGUCUCCGAGGCUUUUUCUCUAAAAGCUGGCAGUGCCACAACGCCAACAGGUUUAACUGGAAAUUGCACAUUUUCCUGUGAUUAGCACUUAUCUAGUUUUAGAUAUGCAUGAGAGUCUUUUCACUUUAUCUUAUAGUUUUAAUCACUGUAGAUAAAAAUGAGGCUGAGGAAUUUAUGAGGCAAAAAAAUUAAUAAGUCGGGCAACAAGGACAGAGAACUUAAGAGAAAGGAGUUGGGGAUUUUGUUUGUUCCGUGAUACCAUUUUAAAAGUAUUUUUUUUCUCCUACGUGCAUGUUUUGGAAAAUAGAAAUAAAAGCUGUCAAACCGUUUUGUGAAAGAAUUGUCUUUCUAAAUUUUGUUACAUUUUUAAGACUGUAACUGCUUGUGAGAUUUAAGAGUCUAUUUUAGAAUAUGCCAAAAUGUAUAAGGUAGCAACUAGAAUUUUAGAACAAUGUGGUAAUUGAGAGUGUGCGCUCUGGACUCAGGCUAAUCAAGUUCAAGUUCAACUUCUCAGUCACUAGAUGUGUGACUGAAUAUGUAGUUUAACCUCUCUUUCUCUUAUCUACAAAAUGGAGACAAUAAUAUUAGUUACAGUGUUGUUGUGAGGAUUAUGAAAUAUACCUUUAGGCAAGGUGGCUGGUAAAUAAAAUAGCAUAUGAUCAAUCAAUCAUUAAUAAUACAUAAAAAUUUUAGUGGGAAAUUAUCUUUUCCCACUAAAUAGAUGGUGAAAAAUUCCAUGCUUAAUGUAAUAAACCAUUUUUUAAUACAUAUGUGGCAAAUAACAGAAACCUAAGUUCACAGACACAAACAAUAGAUAAUAUAUAAAAGUUUUGGAAGACAAUCUGAAGGAUUAGAAGUCUGGAUAAGAACCAGUAAAUAAGAGAUUCAUUAAAGUUAACCUAUGAUAGAAUUUAAAUACAAAAAGGUAGGGCCAGCCCCGUGGUGGCCGAGUGGUUAAAUUCGCGCGCUCUUCUUCGGCGGCCCAGGGUUUCUCUGGUUUGGAUCCUGGGUGCAGGAUCCAUGGCGUCAAGCCAUGUUGAGCGGAGUCCCACAUGCCACAACUAGAAUUACCCACAAAUAAAAGUAUACAACUAUCUACUGGGGGGAUUUGGGGAGAAAAAGCAAAAAAAAAAAAAAAAAGAUUGGCAAGUUGUUAACUCAGGCGCCAAUCUCUAAAAAAAAAAAAAAAGACAGACAAGUUUAAAUGGGUACAUAAACAGAGAUGUUAAAAGAAAAGGCAAGAAGUCAUUUUAGAGGGUUUGAAAAGCAGUGAAAAGAAUUUUAGUUGAUGCUUGAAAGCGAAGGUGCAGAGAGAAGAGUGGACAACUCAUAAGAAUCUUCAAGGGCGAGGGAAGUGAGGGGAACAUAGGAAGCCGCCACGUGUGAUGGAGCGGGGAGUUGGGGGUCUGCAUAAAAGCACUCAGAUGAAAAUCUGUGUAUGUGUGGAAAAUCGUGCUGACCCGACAGUUUGCAGCCCCAGGAAUGAAGUGAUAAAUCCUCCCAAUUAACAGAAGAUAACCAUGGGCACCCUGGACGAAUCCCCUCUGGGGCGUAAAUCACGUUCUGCGCCCUUCUGUCUCUCGGGAUCUGCUCCCCGCCCUCCGCCCUGGCUCCUGCUGAGCCACGUUAGCCCGGGCCUGUGGCUGUUUGGGAAGACCAUCCCUCCCCAGGCUUAGUAUACCCAGCAGUUCCUCAGUUGAGUUAUGCUGGGAUUUGAGCCUAAUUAUUAUGGGUGCGAUGGCCAGGAGGGGUGUGUGUGGGGGCAGAUCACUUCCUAUGAG